rnacentral:rRNA from 1 species
UACAGAGGUGUCAAACGUUGUCCGGAAUUACUGGGCGUAAAGGGCGCGUAGGCGGCCUUAUAAGUCAUGUGUGAAAGCUCUGGGCUCAACCCAGGAAUUGCAUGUGAUACUGUAAGGCUUGAGUUCGGUAGAGGAGGGCGGAAUUCCAGGUGUAGCGGUGAAAUGCGUAGAUAUCUGGAGGAACACCCGUGGCGAAGGCGGCUCUCUGGUCCGAAACUGACGCUGAGGUGCGAAAGCUAGGGGAGCAAACAGG